rnacentral:rRNA from 1 species
CAAGAAAUUUAAAUUUUUUAAACCGCCAUAAAAUCAGAAUAAUCUCCUUAGACAAAUAAUUAACUAUUAGGUGCUAAUUAAAAUGAAUAAAAUAAAUUAAGUAUAUAGCGACAGUACUUAUAUAAAUUUUUAAAUAAAAGAAAUUAAUAAAAUUAUUAAAUACAAUUCAGUUCUACACCAAAUAUUUAUUCUUAUAUUACCCAAUGUAAUUUAAAAUAAAAACCUAAAUUUUACUUUUAAUUUUACUUUAACCUAAAUUAUCAUUCAAAUUAAUUAAAUAAUCAUACUUAUUUCUAGAUUUAA